rnacentral:rRNA from 1 species
GACGAACGCUUGGCGGCGUGCUUAACACGAUGCAAGUCGAACGGUGACGUAGGAGCUUGCUCCUCUGAUCAGUGGCGAACGGGUGAAGUAACACGUGAAGCAACCUGCCCCAGACUCUGGGAUAACAGUUGGAAACAGCUGCUAAUACCGGAUACGAGACGGAGAGGCAUCUCUACCGUCUGGAAAGCUUUUCGGUCUGGGGAUGGACUCGCGGCCUAUCAGCUAGUUGGUGAGGUAAUGGCUCACCAAGGCGACGACGGGUAGCCGGGCCUGAGAGGGCGACCGGCCACACUGGGACUGAGACACGGCCCAGACUCCUACGGGAGGCAGCAGUGGGGAAUAUUGCACAAUGGGCGAAAGCCUGAUGCAGCGACGCCGCGUGAGGGAUGACGGCCUUCGGGUUGUAAACCUCUUUCAGCAGGGAAGAAGCGAAAGUGACGGUACCUGCAGAAGAAGCACCGGCUAACUACGUG